UGGCUUUUGCUUUACAGUACGCAACCAGUGGCAAUAUGUGACUACGCUAUUCUUUUAUGUUUCUCGAUUGGGAUUAUUUGGAUUUAUACGGCUCCCUUUGGGAAUCGAUGCUGGACUUAUUCAUGCCACCUAUUAAAGUGGCAUGAAUAACAGGAAGGGAGUUAUGCAAUGAUGAUUUUCCAAAGAAGAAUAUGCAGGAAAUGGACAGCAAAUAUAAAAGCAGUGAAUGGAUAACCAAAGCUGAUGGGGUUUUGUCUAUGUGAAUGGGACACUGCUUUAAUAAUGGUUGGGUAGCUGCUUCUUUGCAUUAGGAUGUUGGAUGUGGAUGUGUAUAUAUAGCAGGUUUGUGCUGAGACACAUGGAUAUGCACAAACACACACCACAGACACACACGGUCAUACAUGCUCACACACACACACAUUUGAGUCCUUUACAUUUCCAUAAUUAGGAUUAUCUAAUUCUCAACGCUGUUCAUGAUGCUAAUAAUUUGUUUAUUUAUUCUUCCUUCCUUAUUUAAGCAGGUAAGUUAAGAUCUCUCAUGACACAGGCCAAACAUUAGAGUGACUGUAUAAGAAUGAGGUAGCACUGUAUUUCUCUCCCCUGAUUACCAUGUUUUUUCUUAGAAACCACGUGGCAACAGUAUAAUGACAAUUAUUAUUACAAAAUGACUUACUUACUUACCCACUGGUUUGUGGUUCAUUUCCUGCAUGGAUCACAUACAUAUACUUUAAAUGCUCAAAGUAAUGUAACUCGCUUCGUGGCACAUACACUACCGCACAAAAGUUUGGGGUCACUUAGAAAUGUCCUUGUUUUUGAAAGAAAAGCCUUUUUUUGUCCAUUUAAAAUAACAUCAAAUUGAUCAGAAAUACAGUGUAGACAAUGUUAAUGUUGUAAAUUACUAUUGUAGCUGGAAAUGGCUGAUUUUUAAUGGAAUAUCUACAUAGGCAUACAGAGGCCCAUUAUCAGUAACCAUCACUCCUGUGUUCCAAUGCCCCGUUGUGUUAGCUAAUCCAAGUUUAGCAUUUUUAAAGGCUAAUUGAUCACUAGAAAACCCUUUUGCAAUAAUGUUAUCACAGCUGAAAACUGUUCUGAUUAAAGAAGCAAUAAAACUGUCCUUCUUUAGACUAGUUGAGUUUCUGGAGCAUCAGCAUUUGUGGGAUCAAUUAGAGGCUCAAAAUGGCCAGAAACAAGUAACUUUCUUCUGAAACUCGUCAGUCUAUUCUUGUUCUGAGAAAUGAAGGCUAUUCUAUGCGAGAAAUUGCUAAGAAACUGAAGAUCUCGUACAACGCUGUGUACUACUCCCUUCACAGAACAGUGCAAACUGGCCCUAACCAGAAUAGAAAGAGGAGUGGGAGGCCCCGGUGCACAACUGAGCAAGAGGACAAGUACUAGCAUCUGUUUCUAAAACUGAUAAACUUGGAUUAGAUUAACACAACGUGCCAUUGGAACACAGGAGUGAUGGUUGCUGAUAAUGGGCCUCUGUACGCCUAGAUAUUCCAUUAAAAAUCAUCCGUUUCCAGCUACAAUAGUCAUUUACAACAUUAACAAUGUCUGCACUGUAUUUCUGAACAAUUUGAUGUUAUUUUAAUGGACAAAACAUGUGCUUUUCUUUCAAAAACAAGGACAUUUCUAAGUGACCCCAAACAUUUGAACGGUAGUGUAUUCACUGAGUGUUAAAAACAUUAGGGACAGGUGAAUCCAGGUGAAAGCUAUGAUCCCUUAUUGAUGAUUUCUGUUAAAUGCACUUCAAUCAGUUUAGAUGUAGGGGAGGAGAUGGGUUAAAGAAUGAUUUUUAAGCCUUGAGAAAUGGAUUGUGUAUCUGUGCCAUUCACAGACGGAAUGGGCAAGACAAAAUAUUUAAGUGCCUUUGAACGUGUAUGGUAGGAGUUGCCAGGCGCACUAAUUUGAGUGUGUCAAGAACUGCAAAGCUGCUGGGUUUUUCACACUCAACAGUUUCCCGAGCGUAUCAAGAAUGUUCCACCACCCUAAGGACAUCCAGCCAACUUGACACAACUAUCGUAAGCAGUGGAGUCAACAUGGGCCAGCAUCCCUGUGGAACGCUUUCAACACCUUGCAGAGUUCAAUUAAGGUUGUUCUGAGGGCAAAAGGGGUGCAACUCAAUAUUAGGAAGGUGUUCCUAAUGAUUUGUGCACUCUGUCUAUAUUACUUGGGGAUUCUUUGUCACAAAUACCAGAAAGGGACAAUUGUUCAUAAUUAAUUUAAAAUAAUUACCAGAAAGAAUUAUGCUAUCACCAUGUAGUUACUAAGUAAAUACCUGGCAAUAAGGGAGCAUAAAAUAUAGUUUUACCUAAAUGGACAAAAUAACCUAAUCCCUAUAUGGAUCACUUCAGCAUAAGCAAUGUAGUUUCCAAGUUUAACUCUAGUGGACUUGGUAGACUAUAUGAAAGAAGCAGUCAAAAAUACAGACAUUGAAAGAUGGAACUAAGACAAUAUGCCAUGUAAUCCAUUUUGAGAUGCAUUGAGAGAUAGGGGAAAUCAACAACUUUUUUGCCAAUAUCGAAUUAUAAAACAGAGUCUUCUCUAUUAAUGACUAAACCAAUGACAUUGGGGACUGUUUUUGAGCAACGGACAGCUGAGCAACCGUUAUAUUUGCCUUUAAAUUAUUUUGAAACUAAAAUGCUUUAAUUGAGACUUUCUUUAUUCUUGUAAUUUCUUGUCAUCUUAAUUUGACUCAUGAACCAUAUUUUCCUGGCUUGCAUAGUGUGUAUCAAUCUGGCUAAAAAAUGACAUGGGCAAUGAUUUUGUGUCUGUCUUUAUUUGAUUGUACUAUAUUCAAUGUAUGUUUAUAGAAGCCCAUACUAAAGAUAUGAAUGUCAAAUCCAAAUGUUGCCUUUCAAGUUGUUGUCAUGACGUUGGCCUGGGGAUAGGUUUAUGACAGUCAUAAAUACCUCUUUCCCCUUUUUUCCUCUCUCUACCCUACUGAUGUUACAUUUGCAAACCCUUGGUUAACAUAGAAAUUCUGGGAACAUCAGAAGGUGGGGGGAAAUUAACUAUAUUCUGGUAAUUCGACCAAUUGAACAUAUGCAGUGGUACUUAAUGAAUAUGAUGUCAGUUCGGUUGUCAUCUGAGACAUUCUCAUCAAUGAUAAGAUGACAAACUCUACAAUGGAAAGUCUACAGAGUUAUCGGAUUCACAUGGAAUUGUUGUUCAAUUUAAAUGUUUGAAUAUGAAAUUAUUCGUGAUGGGAUGAAAUGUGAUUUUAGCUUCUAAAAUGUGAGAUUUGGGUUUUCAUAAGAUAGGGCUGCUCAAUCAGUGGCCCGCCCCUGUGAAGGGACAUGGGCUAUAAAACUUUUCAAACACGCCCUCCUCUCCCUUCCUAUAUAAGCCCUUGACGACAAUAUAACCUUCUGUUCCGAGGACGUGAGGAUGACGGUCCUAUGUCAGAAUGGAUCAGAUAAUAACUACAGAAUGAAGCAAACAUCAGCGUGAGCUUUGUUUGAGAAUGGUAUGAACUUUGAACUCUUAUUCACUACAGAAGUGAUACCUCCUAGCCGUUGAGUUAGCAACUGCAGCUGCAAACGCAGGUUAGGAAGGAACAGACACAGAGUGUCCCGUCUACCACACAACGACGUUACUACAACGUAUCCAAUUGACAACCAGAGACAUUCUUCAAAGGACUCGGUUGGGCAACAUGGCCUUCCAUCUACCACCAACCUACCUAAGCGCAGCUCAGCCCAGAGUAAAUAUUUAUUGCAUUUUCCUUUUCCAAAUGGGCGGUAAUUUAGAAUGCAUAAGAUACUGUCUUUACGAUAGCACAGCUUUGGCCUUUGUUCCUCAGUCUUCCCGCUCCUUCACUCAAACCCAGCCCUUUUCUUUCGUGUUACAAGCUGUCAUAUCUGUUCCGCCCGCUAGGGACGUUUUCCUUUAUGACGUAAUUUGUAAUCAAGUUAUGAUUUCAUUAUGUGUAUGUGUAAUUCUGUGUGAUUAGUUAGUUAUUUAGUAAAUAAAUGAUUAAACCCAA